AUACGUAGGGGGCAAGCGUUGUCCGGAAUUACUGGGCGUAAAGCGCGCGCAGGCGGCCAUUUGCGUCCGGGGUGAAAGCCCAAGGCUCAACCUUGGGAUUGCCUUGGAUACGGGAUGGCUUGAGGAUCGGAGAGGCAAGGGGAAUUCCACGUGUAGCGGUGAAAUGCGUAGAGAUGUGGAGGAACACCUGUGGCGAAGGCGCCUUGCUGGCCGAUUUCUGACGCUGAGGCGCGAAAGCGUGGGGAGCAAACAGGAUUAGAUACCCUGGUAGUCCACGCCGUAAACGAUGAGUGCUAGGUGUUGGGGGGUACCACCCUCAGUGCCGAAGCUAACGCAUUAAGCACUCCGCCUGGGGAGUACGGUCGCAAGACUGAA
rnacentral:rRNA from 1 species